UAUCACUAANAUUAGCAAUCUGGCCCUCUGUCNGCGUCCGAGUUGUAAUUUGAAGAAGGUAUCUUUGGUUUUGGCUCUUGUCUAUGUUCCUUGGAACAGGACGUCACAGAGGGUGAGAAUCCCGUGCGAUGAGAUGCCCAAUUCCAUGUAAAGUUCCUUCGACGAGUCGAGUUGUUUGGGAAUGCAGCUCUAAGUGGGUGGUAAAUUCCAUCUAAAGCUAAAUAUUGGCGAGAGACCGAUAGCGAACAAGUACUGUGAAGGAAAGAUGAAAAGAACUUUGAAAAGAGAGUGAAAAAGUACGUGAAAUUGUUGAAAGGGAAGGGCUUGAGAUCAGACUUGGAAUUUUCCAGCAAUGGAGCUUUCCGGGCCAGCAUCAGUUUGGAUGGCAGGAUAAUUGCGUAGGAAAGUGGCACCACCUCGGUGGUGUGUUAUAGCCUGCGUCGAUACUGCCUAUCUAGACUGAGGACUGCGUCUUUGACUAGGAUGCUGGCAUAAUGAUCUUAAGCC
rnacentral:rRNA from 1 species